GGGGCUGUUUUUGAUUCGACAGAUAAUUUUAAUGAUAGAUGGCAAGUCGAGUUGUUCUCGUAAAUCGCUAAAAAAAAUAAAUGCUAAAAACAUUAAAAAUGCAAUUGCUAAAGUAUUUGGUGGAAACCAAGCUUUAGCUUAUGCCUAAUAAUAAUAGGUUUGCGCUGUUUUAAAUUAUUGUCUACGUAAUUUAUUACGGUUUAUCUUGUAGACUAUAUUUAUUAUUUGUCUAGAUAAUAAAUAGAGAUUUUUAGACUAUGUAUAUUAGUUGGUUUGUUAAUUGUCCUGCUAGUAUAUUAAAGAUUGCAAUUAACUAAGCUUGUAGAGGUUUAUUUUAUUAGGUUGUUUGGACAGGGAGUCGCACUCCCUCAGCUCCACCA
rnacentral:tmRNA from 1 species